rnacentral:rRNA from 1 species
UAGUCCACGCCGUAAACGAUGGAUACUAGCUGUUCGGAACUUGUUCUGAGUGGCUAAGCGAAAGUGAUAAGUAUCCCAACCUGGGGAGUACGUUCGCAAGAAUGAAACUCAAAGGAAUUGACGGGGGCCCGCACAAGCGGUGGAGCAUGUGGUUUAAUUCGAUGAUACGCGAGGAACCUUACCAGGGCUUAAAUGUAGUCUGACAGGGCCAGAAAUGGCUUUUUUCUUCGGACAGAUUACAAGGUGCUGCAUGGUUGUCGUCAGCUCGUGCCGUGAGGUGUCAGGUUAAGUCCUAUAACGAGCGCAACCCCUGUUGUUAGUUGCCAUCGAGUAAUGUCGGGAACUCUAACAAGACUGCCGGUGCAAACCGUGAGGAAGGUGGGGAUGACGUCAAAUCAUCACGGCCCUUACGUCCUGGGCCACACACGUGCUACAAUGGUGCAUACAGAGGGUAGCGAACUAGCAAUAGUAAGCCAAUCUCAGAAAGUGCAUCUCAGUUCGGAUUGGGGU